rnacentral:rRNA from 1 species
GACGAACGCUGGCGGCGUGCUUAACACAUGCAAGUCGAACGGAAAGGCCCUGCUUUUGUGGGGUGCUCGAGUGGCGAACGGGUGAGUAACACGUGAGUAACCUGCCCUUGACUUUGGGAUAACUUCAGGAAACUGGGGCUAAUACCGGAUAGGAGCUCCUGCUGCAUGGUGGGGGUUGGAAAGUUUCGGCGGUUGGGGAUGGACUCGCGGCUUAUCAGCUUGUUGGUGGGGUAGUGGCUUACCAAGGCUUUGACGGGUAGCCGGCCUGAGAGGGUGACCGGCCACAUUGGGACUGAGAUACGGCCCAGACUCCUACGGGAGGCAGCAGUGGGGAAUGUUGCACAAUGGGCGGAAGCCUGAUGCAGCAACGCCGCGUGCGGGAUGACGGCCUUCGGGCUGUAAACCGCUUUCGCCUGUGACGAAGCGUGAGUGACGGUAAUGGGUAAAGAAGCACCGGCUAACUACGUG